AUACUUAUCUGGCGUGGAAGAUAUUAUGAUUACAAGGUGGUUUUUCCAGGAAGAGACUUAUCCAUUGCACCCCAAAUUGCUGACCCUUGCUGUUUCCCCAAAUGUGGAAAACUUGACUGGAUUAUUUCGAUAGUGGGGGACUGCAUUUGCUUUCUCCCU
ensembl:snRNA U1 U1 spliceosomal RNA